rnacentral:lncRNA from 1 species
AGAGUAACCUUUGCUUGCAUUUAUACCAAACUUCCACACCCACGUCAGAACUGGAAUCCUUGAUCCCCCAUUGCCCGGACGAAAGUAAUUAUUGAACUUGUCCACUGAAACCAUCCUCUCAUGCCCAAAUGCAGUCAGUAGCCACAAGAAAAGAAGACAUUGAACUUCAAGAAGUUGGUUUGCAGUCUGGACUUGCAGCUCUAAACUCCACCCACCACAGUGAAAUUUUGGAUGGCAGCUGCUCAGCUGAAAAGGAGUUGUAUCACCCAGGGCCGGAGCUACAAGCUGUUCCCUGGCCCCCUCAGCUACUUCAAACACAGUCAGACCGAGUGCUCCACACUGUUGUAGAAGCUACGUCUCAUUUGCUGUCGGCACCAUGUGCCGCUAGAAUUGUUCAAGUGUCUGAACUGCUUUAUCCUUCUCCAUGACUGUCAGAAAAGGAAUGGAGGUUCCAGACAGGUGACUGUACCUGCGGGAACAGAUCUGACUUGUCCAGAUCCUCGCUCUCAACAAAGGGUGCCGGGAUGUUCAGUGGGAGAGAAAUGCUGAUGGAGUUGGACCCAGAGCCGCACCGGGGAGCAGGAAUCCUUUCCACACCCUGUACUUUGACAAACCUGUUCUUGCUUUGCUACCCAUCUGCAAGGAAGCAGUUUUUCUAAAUGGCUAUGUUUAGAUUAGAAUGUCGUCUAACAGAAGUUCUAACAUGUUGUACUGAUUAAACAAAUUGAGAUCAAAACAGACAGACAGACAGAAAUGCAAACAGACAAACAAGCAUCCUUCUCUGAAGCGUCCCAUUUCUUAGAGUGUACAGAAAACAAAAAUCUUUGUAUGAAUUUUGGAAAAGGUUGCUCUAACUCUGAAUAGAAUAAAGAGUCUUUAGGAAAUCA